AUACGGAGGAUCCGAGCGUUAUCCGGAUUUAUUGGGUUUAAAGGGAGCGUAGGCGGACGCUUAAGUCAGUUGUGAAAGUUUGCGGCUCAACCGUAAAAUUGCAGUUGAUACUGGGUGUCUUGAGUACAGUAGAGGCAGGCGGAAUUUGGGGUGUAGCGGGGAAAUGCUUAGAUAUCACGAAUAACUCCGAUUGCGAAGGAAGCCUGCUGGACUGUAACUGACGCUGAUGCUCGAAAGUGUGGGUAUCAAACAGGAUUAGAUACCCUGGUAGUCCACACAGUAAACGAUGAAUACUCGCUGUUUGCGAUAUACAGUAAGCGGCCAAGCGAAAGCAUUAAGUAUUCCACCUGGGGAGUACGCCGGCAACGGUGAAACUCAAAGGAAUUGACGGGG
rnacentral:rRNA from 1 species